rnacentral:tRNA from 1 species
AAUUAAGUGCCUGAUAAAAGGGUUACUUUGAUAGAGUAAAUCAUGUAAAAAAGUCUUACCUUAAUUA